GAACGCUGGCGGCGUGCCUAAUACAUGCAAGUCGAGCGAACGGACGAGAAGCUUGCUUCUCUGAUGUUAGCGGCGGACGGGUGAGUAACACGUGGAUAACCUACCUAUAAGACUGUGAUAACUUCGGGAAACCGGAGCUAAUACCGGAUAAUAUUUUGAACCGCAUGGUUCAACAGUGAAAGACGGUCUUGCUGUCACUUAUAGAUGGAUCCGCGCUGCAUUAGCUAGUUGGUAAGGUAACGGCUUACCAAGGCAACGAUGCAUAGCCGACCUGAGAGGGUGAUCGGCCACACUGGAACUGAGACACGGUCCAGACUCCUACGGGAGGCAGCAGUAGGGAAUCUUCCGCAAUGGGCGAAAGCCUGACGGAGCAACGCCGCGUGAGUGAUGAAGGUCUUCGGAUCGUAAAACUCUGUUAUUAGGGAAGAACAUAUGUGUAAGUAACUGUGCACAUCUUGACGGUACCUAAGCAGAAAGCCACGGCUAACUACGU
rnacentral:rRNA from 1 species